GACGAACGCUGGCGGCGUGCUUAACACAUGCAAGUCGAACGGAAAGGCCCUGCUUGCAGGGUGCUCGAGUGGCGAACGGGUGAGUAACACGUGGGUGAUCUGCCCCUUACUUUGGGAUAAGCCUGGGAAACUGGGUCUAAUACUGGAUAGGACCAUGCUGUAGGUAGUGUGGUGGAAAGAUUAGUUUCGGUAAGGGAUGAGCUCGCGGCCUAUCAGCUUGUUGGUGGGGUAAUGGCCUACCAAGGCGUCGACGGGUAGCCGGCCUGAGAGGGUGGACGGCCACAUUGGGACUGAGAUACGGCCCAGACUCCUACGGGAGGCAGCAGUGGGGAAUAUUGCACAAUGGGCGCAAGCCUGAUGCAGCGACGCCGCGUGGGGGAUGACGGCCUUCGGGUUGUAAACUCCUUUCAGCCAUGACGAAGCCCUUGUGGUGACGGUAGUGGUAGAAGAAGCACCGGCUAACUACGUG
rnacentral:rRNA from 1 species